rnacentral:sRNA from 1 species
GUUACUUUGAACUCCAAAGCUUCCUGACUUUAUCUCUGAAGUGAAGGGAUCACAAGAGUACAUCACCGAGAACGGUUUGCCAACUUGAAUUGACCUUCUUCAGAACAUUGGUGCAUGAAAUGAGAAAAGAGGUUCUGGAUCCAUGACGAAUGUUUAAACCCACGUGGAGCUUCUACUAAACGGAAGUUACUGCUCAAAUGAUCGCUCACUGUCUUCUGAAAUAGAAACGUGACCCACAUGAAUGGAAAUAGCUGGGAGAAGAUAACCUGACUCUGGACUUCAAGUUUCAAAGGGAGCAGAUCUGACUGACCAUGAUUCUUAGAUGUUCAGCCCUGGGUGGGGGCAUUGGAUUACCAAGAUGGAAAUUUGACAACUGGCCUACAUCACUCAAGCAAGGACUGGAAAAAUAUUUUACAAGCUGUCCUUUCACUCUGACACUUAGAGAAAACGAUAAUGAUUUUCAGCGCAAGCAGAAGCUAAGAGUGUGUAAACUAAAUGCUCUUAAUACCUAUAUGGGCUUCAAAGAAAUAUCUUCUUGAUAGGAAGUUAUUUUUCACUGGUUCUAGGUCUGCAAUCAUUGUGAUGGAAUAAAAAUUCAAUCUACAUGACACUAAUCAAUCUUAGAUGAAAAAGUACAAAGUUACUGCAGAUAACUAUUGCAAUAUCAUUACAUAGAUGAGGUUAGAAACUGACAACUUUUUCCCAUUGCCACAUGUGUGGCAUACUGCUGACGUCAUAUAUGAAAAAAUUACGACAUGGCAUAACAGUAAGCCCCUUACGUAGGAAAAACCUGAGAUAACCAUUCGAGGUCGCCGUUUGCUUCUUGUGAUAUCUACCAAGCACUGAAUUUUGGAAGUGAUUUGUCAGACAUAUCUUGAUUUCUUCAACACAUUAUUAGUGAAAGCACAUUGAAGUUA